GACGAACGCUGGCGGCGUGCAUAAAACAUGCAAGUCGAACGGGCCAAAGCCGCAAGGCCGAGGUCAGUGGCGAACGGCUGAGUAACACGUAGGUGACCUGCCCUGAAGUGGGGGACAACUCCUCGAAAGAGGGGCUAAUACCGCAUGUGAUCACCAGUUCAUUCGGGUGAUCAAAGGCGCAAGCCGCUUCAGGAGGGGCCUGCGGCGGAUCAGCUAGUUGGUGGGGUAACGGCUCACCAAGGCAAGGAUCCGUAGCUGGUCUGAGAGGAUGGCCAGCCAGACUGGGACUGAGACACGGCCCAGACUCCUACGGGAGGCAGCAGUUAGGGAUCUUGUGCAAUGGGGGAAACCCUGACACAGCAACGCCGCGUGAGGGAUGAAGGCCUUCGGGUCGUAAACCUCUUUUCUGAGGGAAGAAACCUGACGGUACCUCAGGAAUAAGCAACGGCUAACUACGUGCCAGCAGCCGCGGUAAUACGUAGGUUGCGAGCGUUGUCCGGAAUCACUGGGCGUAAAGCGCACGCAGGCGGCUCCGCAAGCCUAUGGUGAAAGCCCUCGGCCCAACCGAGGGAGGCCCAUGGGAACUGCGGGGCUCAGAAGACGGGAGAGGCGGAUGGAAUUUCCGGUGUAGCGGUAAAAUGCGUAGAUACCGGAAGGAACACCAGUGGCGAAAGCGAUCCGCUGGCCCGCUCUUGACGCUCAGGUGCGAAAGCUAGGGUAGCGACCGGGAUUAGAUACCCCGUUAGUCCUAGCCGUAAACGAUGGGCACUAGGUGUUGUCGGUAUCGACCCCGGCAGUGCCGAAGCUAACGCAUUAAGUGCCCCGCCUGGGGAGUACGGCCGCAAGGCUAAAACUCAAAGGAAUUGACGGGGGUCCGCACAAGCAGCGGAGCGUGCGGUUCAAUUCGAUGGUACGCGAAGAACCUUACCCAGGCUUUACAUGCAGGUGGUAGCGACCCGAAAGGGAAGCGACCCGCAAGGGAGCCUGCAAUGGUGUUGCACGGCUGUCGUCAGCUCGUGUCGUGAGAUGUUGGGUUAAGUCCCGCAACGAGCGCAACCCUCACCGCCUGUUGUAUCCCUCAGGCGGGACUGCCGAGAGAAACUCGGAGGAAGGUGGGGAUGAGGUCAAGUCCGCGUGGCCCUUAUGCCUGGGCUACACGCACGCUACAAUCGCCGGUCACAGCGGGUCGCAACUGCGCGAGCAGGAGCUAAUCCCUCAAAACCGGCGUCAGUUCAGAUCGGAGGCUGAAACUCGCCUCCGUGAAGUCGGAGUUGCUAGUAACCGCGGGUCAGCACACCGCGGUGAAUAUGUUCCCGGACCUUGUACACACCGCCCGUCAAGUGAUGGGAGUCGGAAGCACCCGAAGCCGGUGGGCCAACCGCAAGGAGGCAGCCGUCGAAGGUGAGGCCGGCGACUGG
rnacentral:rRNA from 1 species